rnacentral:lncRNA from 1 species
GCUCCGCUGCCCUCGGCGACGUCUCCCCUCAACUUUGCCAUUUUUGGCCGAUUUUGGCUGGUUUAGGCCGAUUUUGCAUGAAAACCUGCAAAAAAAUGGGUUAGGCAACCUCUGUCGGCUGGAAAAGGAAAAAACAAAGGCCUUACCAACAAAGGGAUUUUUUGGUGCAGCAGCUCCAUUGUUCCUCUCUUGCGAUUGGGGCUUCUCUUUGGCUAACCUACACUAGAAAGAGAUGAAGAACACAAAGGUCAAAGAAUCGAAUGAAAUGGGAAAUGGCAAACAGCCCAUCGAAGCAAUUUUGGGUCACGAUCGCGGCAGCUCAACCGAGCUCCGCUCGUGUUUUUCGGCUUACCCUCUAGCCUUUUGGCUCUGAUAUAGGCGUGGGUGGGUUUAGAAUCAAAUUUUGAAUGAGAAGGGGGAAAAAAUACCUUUCCAGCGUUGGCGGUGGCUCCGGUGCAGCGGCGACGGCGACCGGUCUUCUUAUCCGAUGACUGGUUCACUUUCGGCCGCCCCUCUUCUUCUUCUUCUUUGAUCUUUUCUUAACUGCUAGGGUUAAGGUUUCUUGUGGAAGAGGAGUUUAAAUACCCCUCUCCAUUAAAUCCUGGUCGUUCGUUCAAGGAGACACGGCUCCUCUUUAGCCGUUGGAUUAAUUUUAUAUGAGAAACAAAUCUGCACCGCAUAAUUAGAUGAAAUCAAGACCGUUCGAUCGUACUAAAGAAAAAAUGAAUUUGGGUCAUCCGUGCGCGCAGGAGGAGAUCUGGACUAGUAUAGCUCAUUCUCCUUAUUUAACCAUUUCAUAUCAGGAAGACCAAGAUCU